AAGGCUAAUAUUAUUAAAACUCUCAAGAACAAGAAGUACUUGGAGGAAAAGAGAACUACAGAGAAAAGCCAGGUGCACGCUUAAGCAGCAGACCCAAAAAAAGAUACACCAGACAAUUAAAAGGAAACACUAGCAAAAGCAACUAACAGUACCCUGAAACAACCACAAAAACUACAGAAACAACAGCAGGGCAACCAUAGUACGCCAGAAGGACAAUAACAGGGCCUGAAAACACUCCCCCACUGCAGCAAAAAAGACCGCAAGCAAACUCACCAAAAAAGCACAGCCCAGG
rnacentral:lncRNA from 1 species